rnacentral:rRNA from 1 species
ACUCAAAGGAAUAGACGGGGGCCCGCACAAGCGGCGGAGCAUGCGGCUUAAUUCGAUGCAACGCGAAGAACCUUACCUAGGCUUGACAUAUGCCGUUUACCCGUGGAGACACGGGGUCCGCAAGGGCGGUAUACAGGUGGUGCAUGGUUGUCGUCAGCUCGUGUCGUGAGAUGUUGGGUUAAGUCCCGCAACGAGCGCAACCCUCGUCCUAUGUUGCCAGCGGGUAAUGCCGGGGACUCAUAGGAGACUGCCGGGGUCAACUCGGAGGAAGGUGGGGAUGACGUCAAAUCAUCAUGCCCCUUAUGUCUAGGGCUGCACGCAUGCUACAAUGGUCGGUACAAAGGGCUGCGAUACCGUAAGGUGGAGCGAAUCCCAGAAAGCCGGCCUCAGUUCGGAUUGAGGUCUGCAACUCGACCUCAUGAAGUUGGAGUCGCUAGUAAUCGCAGAUCAGCAUUGCUGCGGUGAAUACGUUCCCGGGCCUUGUACACACCGCCCGU